UACGUAGGGAGCAAGCGUUGUCCGGAAUCAUUGGGCGUAAAGCGCGCGUAGGUGGCUUCGUAAGUCCGCUGUGAAAGUCAAAGGCUCAACCUUUGAAAGCCGGUGGAUACUGCGGGGCUAGAGUACGGAAGAGGCGAGUGGAAUUCCUGGUGUAGCGGUGGAAUGCGCAGAUAUCAGGAGGAAUACCUGAGGUGAAGACGGGUUGCUAGGCCGACACUGACGCUGAAGCGCGAAAGCCAGGGGAGCAAACGGG
rnacentral:rRNA from 1 species